rnacentral:lncRNA from 1 species
CGCCCCCCACCGGUGGGGGGCGACACCAACUAGUCCCAAACCUCUUCUGAGGAUUUAACAUGUUCAAAGGCCUAAGAAAAGGCAUCGCGAGGCACACUGACUGAAUUUACACACAACUGAGAACAGCUCUCAUAGGCGGUGAGACCAAGUGCAGGAGGGAAAAUAGUGUUACUACAGAGGAGAAGGAAAGCACCCUUUACUUCCCUGAAGUUUAAGCUUUAAAAAAAGCAUUUGCUGCAGCAGGAACACUAGGGUCAGAUAAAUGGAAUCCACUACUCUUAAAAGAAGCUAGCUUCAGGCAAGAAAUCAGGCACUCU